CCUACGGGAGGCAGCAGCAGGGAAUCUUGGGCAAUGGGCGAAAGCCUGACCCAGCGACGCCGCGUGGAGGAAGAAGUCCUUCGGGGCGUAAACUCCUGGACUGGGGGACGAGAAAGGACGGUACCCCAGUAGAAAGGGACGGCUAACUACGUGCCAGCAGCCGCGGUAAAACGUAGGUCCCGAGCGUUGUUCGGAUUCACUGGGUGUAAAGGGCGCGUAGGUGGUUGUCUGUGUCUCAUGUGAAAACUCAGGGCUCAACUCUGAGAUUGCGUGGGAAACUAGGCAGCUAGAGGACGGUAGAGGGGAGUGGAAUUCCCGGUGUAGCGGUAAAAUGCGUAGAUAUCGGGAGGAACACCGGUGGCGAAGGCGGCUCUCUGGGCCGAUCCUGACGCUGAGGCGCGAAAGCUAGGGGAGCGAACC
rnacentral:rRNA from 1 species